UACGUAGGGUGCAAGCGUUGUCCGGAAUUAUUGGGCGUAAAGAGCUUGUAGGCGGUUUGUCGCGUCUGCUGUGAAAUUUCGGGGCUCAACCCCGAACUUGCAGUGGGUACGGGCAGACUAGAGUGUGGUAGGGGAGACUGGAAUUCCUGGUGUAGCGGUGAAAUGCGCAGAUAUCAGGAGGAACACCGAUGGCGAAGGCAGGUCUCUGGGCAUUAACUGACGCUGAGGUGCGAAAGCGUGGGUAGCAAACAGG
rnacentral:rRNA from 1 species